CGGAGUGGAGUGGCCUAGCCGCGGGAGGGGAAGGGUUGCUAGUGUUAGGCCUAGCUGGGUAGUGCGGUUGAGCGUGAGGCGAGAAAGAAGAAGCGAUCCUCCAAGGGUGAGAACGGAAGAUCUGCCGAAGAUAACAACCUCCCUUGUGGCCAAAGGGCGGGGGAUCCCCCCCACACGAGGGCUCCGUUUCGAGAGACGGCGACAAAGGAAAGUUCGUAGCGCGUUCCGGAGGCCCGGCCGCGUCUGAGAAGGGAGACGCUGCUGGGUCCGCUAAGCUGGGCGACCCGAGCUUAUAUAGAAUUGGUCAUAGGAUCACAACUUCUGAGGUCCCAGCAAGAGUCCUAACAUCUAGCAGCUCUACCACCAGGACAGGCCCCCUAAAACUAAUUCCAACAAGCACCUCUGAAGUCUUCUCAUUCACAGGUUAAGGCUACCUUUCCAGAUAGUCCAACAGCUAAAUCACCAGUUUCCAAGGGCAUUUACGUCACCUAUGGAAAGCAUCGGAUCCUCUUACACCAGAUGUUCUUGACAGCUCAUCCCAUCAGUCCCCACUGCACAAAAGUUGCUAUACCAGCGGACAACCAAGACAACUACUGAGCUUCUUUUCGUUGUCAAGUAGAUAUAAUAUCACUGCCAGCAAAACAGCACAAAAAGUGUCUCUUCACAGUACCACUACCAAUUGGGACUAUGCUAAGUAAAUCAGCUUGCCUAGAUGAGGACCCCUUGUAUUCUUGGGUAGCCAGGAUUUGAAGGAGAUACUCUGACCUGUGCCACUGGAAGCCACUGGAGGAUGUGCUUCACCGAAAUGAGGGAUUAAUCUGAGAAGGAUGGGAUCCUGAAACUAAAAGAUGUCACAAAGGAAAAUGAAGAAAGUCCCAGGAUAACUACUGUGUCAAGUAAGUUGGACGGAGGUUCCAGGAAGUCGGUCUCUAGGAAAACUGCGAACAAAGUAUUUGAGUACAAUGGAAAGUGUAUAAAUGAGCAAGAAAUUUGAAAUUUUAUUUCUUAGAAAGUAUGUUAUUUAGUAACCAGAGUUUUAAAAUUUGACAUUAAAAGUAUAGUCAAAUUGGAGUCUUGUCAGCUAUAAUUAGAUUGGUCCUUAUGGCAUAAUACUCCACAGUUUUCUGUAGAUGCUGACCUUCAUUAAGAUGUGCACCGCAGAAGAUAUUUCUAGAAAAUAAAGUUUUUCAAUUUGUUUUUGUAUUUUAUUUGCUUAGGCAAAUCUCAAUUUUGUAUUUAUUUACAGAAAUAAUGCAUGGUCUAUAGCAGUAAUUUCAGCGAGCUUUUUGUUUAAAUUUUAGCCUCUGUAGAAUCAAAAGCAUGAAGAAUUACAGGUUGAGCAUUCCUAAUCCAAAAAUUCAAAAUCUGAAAUGCUCCAAAAUCCAAAACUUUUUGAGUGCCAAGAUGACACCACAAGUGGAGAAUUUCACACCUGACCUCAUGUGACAGGUCAUCAAAACAAAGGCACACAAUACAUAGUUUAUUAAAACUAUUGUAUGAAAUUACCUUCAAGCUACGUAUAUAUGAAACAUGAAUGAAUUUCAUGUUUAGACUUCCCAUCCCAAAGAUAUCUCACUAUGUAUACGUAAAUAUUCCAAAAUCUGAAAAAAUUAAAUCCAAAGCACUUCUGUUCCCACACAUUUCAGAUAAGGGAUAUGCAACCUGUAUCUACGUUUUAAAAAUAAUAUUCUGAAAUUCGAUAUUGUUUUUCAUCUUCCAUGCUAUUUUUGCUAUCAAGAUAUAGUUAUAUACAGUGGCUGGUCCAUAAUAUAUUCCUAUAUAAUAUUUUAGAUGUUUCCUUAUGAGUUAUGGUUCAGGGUUUUUUUCUAUGCUUUGUUUAUAUUAAUAUUACAUAAUCUCAGAAUGAAUUUUUAUUUACUUGCAAGUGAUAUGUAUGCUGAUAGGUUUUUCUCUCUGUCAUCAAAUCUAUUGAGUAAACCACGCCAGGCCAAUUUGUCCAUCUCCUUUUUUCUAAGUAAGAAAUAACAUAUAUACAGUAAAUAGAGUGCACUAAUCAUAAGUGUACUUGAUUUUUUAAAAUAUGUAUACAUUCAUAUCAAGAUCAUAUAAAAAUACAUACACUCAGACCAAAGUAUUAAAAAUUUCAAAUUCUCUUGUGCCCUUUCCUAGUCUAUACAGCUCCCAGAAAUAACUACUCUUUUCUAAAGAUCUAUUAGUUUUGCUUGUUCUCAGAAUUCAUGUGAAUGGAAUCAUACUGUAUAUAUUGUUUUAUGCCUGUCUUCUUUCAUCAAUGUACUUGUUCUUUUUUUAUUGUUAUAGACUAUUUGAUUACAUGAAUAUAUCAUUAUUUGUUUAUCCUUUUACCUAUUGACAUUCACGUUAUUUCCAACUUUUUGUUAUUAUGAAUAAACCUAUAAUAAACAUUC